GGAAAAACAAAAGGCAGUGAGUUCUCUCAGCCAAUUACAGGUCAACCUUCUCGUCUACCCCGCUCACUGCUGCGCUUGACUGGUCUUUG
ensembl:misc_RNA Y_RNA Y RNA